rnacentral:rRNA from 1 species
GAGGGGCAGCAGGACACUUCAGAUGUUGCUGGCGACCGGCGUACGGGUGCGUAAUAUGUAUGCAAUCUACCUUGUACUGGAGGAUAGCUCCUGGAAACGGGAAUUAAUACUCCAUAUUAUCUAAUUAGCGCAUGCUGAUUAGAUGAAAGCCCCGGUGGUACAAGAGGAGCAUGCAUCCCAUUAGCUAGUUGGCGAGGUAGCGGCUCACCAAGGCGACGAUGGGUAGGGGUUCUUAGUGGAAGAUCCCCCACACUGGCACUGAAAUACGGGCCAUACUUCUACGGGAGGCAGCAGUAGGGAAUAUUGGUCGAUGGGCGCAAGCCUGAACCAGCCAUGCCGCGUGCAGGAUGAAGGCCCUCAGGGUUGUAAACUGCUUUUAUAUGGGAAUAAAAAGCCCUUGCGAGGGCCAUUGAAGGUACCAUAAGAAUAAGCACCGGCUAACUCCGUGCCAGCAGCCGCGGUAAU